rnacentral:rRNA from 1 species
AUUGAACGCUGGCGGCAGGCCUAACACAUGCAAGUCGAGCGGAUGAAGGGAGCUUGCUCCUGGAUUCAGCGGCGGACGGGUGAGUAAUGCCUAGGAAUCUGCCUGGUAGUGGGGGAUAACGUCCGGAAACGGGCGCUAAUACCGCAUACGUCCUGAGGGAGAAAGUGGGGGAUCUUCGGACCUCACGCUAUCAGAUGAGCCUAGGUCGGAUUAGCUAGUUGGUGGGGUAAAGGCCUACCAAGGCGACGAUCCGUAACUGGUCUGAGAGGAUGAUCAGUCACACUGGAACUGAGACACGGUCCAGACUCCUACGGGAGGCAGCAGUGGGGAAUAUUGGACAAUGGGCGAAAGCCUGAUCCAGCCAUGCCGCGUGUGUGAAGACGGUCUUCGGAUUGUAAAGCACUUUAAGUUGGGAGGAAGGGCAGUAAGUUAAUACCUUGCUGCUUUGACGUUACCAACAGAAUAAGCACCGGCUAACUUCGUG